rnacentral:rRNA from 1 species
CCUACGGGUGGCAGCAGUGGGGAAUAUUGCGCAAUGGGCGAAAGCCUGACGCAGCGACGCCGCGUGAGGGAUGAAGGUCUUCGGAGCGUAAACCUCUGUCAGCAGGGACGAAAGGUCACUCGGCUAUUCAGCAGUGAAUUGACGGUACCUGCAAAGGAAGAACCGGUUAACUCCGUGCCAGCAGCCGCGGUAAUACGGAGGGUGCGAGCGUUAAUCGGAAUUACUGGGCGUAAAGCGCGCGUAGGCGGUAUGUCAAGUCAAGGGUGAAAUCCCCGCGCUCAACUUGGGAACUGCCUUUGAAACUGGCAAACUGGAGUGUGUUAGAGGAUAGUGGAAUUCCAGGUGUAGCCGU